rnacentral:lncRNA from 1 species
AUGGUAGCAGACACCGCCAGUUGGUGAGGAAAGUGUUGGUGCCAAAUAGGAGGUAAAGGCUGCAAUUGAAGGCUCCUCCCUAUCUUGAAGCUAUGUCAGUUUCAUCUGUUUCUAAUUUAAUUUACUUCCAUGAUCCCCAGAGAGGAUCGCAGAACAGGGGCUGAGCGGCCCUGCCUGGUUUGGGGAAGGUACCAUUUGUAAAGAAGGCCACAUUAAAUAAGCUCACAUUUAACGUGAGCCCACGUUAAAUAAAAGCCAGAGCCGGGGAAGACAGAACUCUUAACUGCUCCAGACUCAGGUGGGGACCUGCUGAAGAAGCAUCCACACUUGCCAUUCUCAGAGAUGCUAUGUGGCUUUUCUGAGCUGAAAUGCAAAGCUGGGUUUUGGAUCACUCUUCUC